GAACCAUCAUUUGUUGGUUAAACUGAUCAAGUGGAAAGACUCGGUUAGUUUUCCAACCUACAUUAUCAAAAAUAUGUGUGGGGGUAAAUCCUUUGCAGACGACUUGAAUCAGAACAGGGUACUGUAAGUGGUAGAGUAGCCUUGUUGCUACGAUCCACUGAGGUUCAGCCCAAGUUCUAAAGAUUUGUUCAACUCCAGUUGG
rnacentral:rRNA from 1 species